rnacentral:tRNA from 2 species
CACUAAGAAGCUAACUUAGCAUCAGCCUUUUAAGCUGAAGACGGGCGAAUAUCAUUCUCCCUUAGUGA